UAGGGCGCAAACCUGAUCCAGCCAUGCCGCGUAGGUGAUGAAGGCCCUAGGGUUGUAAAGCCCUUUCGAGCGGGGAAGAUAAUGACGGUACCCGCAGAAGAAGCCCCGGCUAACUUCGUGCCAGCAGCCGCGGUAAUACGAAGGGGGCUAGCGUUGCUCGGAAUUACUGGGCGUAAAGCGCACGUAGGCGGCUUUCUAAGUCGGGGGUGAAAUCCUGGAGCUCAACUCCAGAACUGCCUUCGAUACUGGAAAGCUCGAGUCCGGGAGAGGUGAGUGGAACUGCGAGUGUAGAGGUGAAAUUCGUAGAUAUUCGCAAGAACACCAGUGGCGAAGGCGGCUCACUGGCCCGGUACUGACGCUGAGGUGCGAAAGCGUGGGGAGCAAACGGGAUUAGAUACCCUGGUAGUCCACGCCGUAAACGAUGGAUGCUAGCCGUUGGCGAGCUUGCUCGUCAGUGGCGCAGCUAACGCUUUAAGCAUCCCGCCUGGGGAGUACGGUCGCAAGAUUA
rnacentral:rRNA from 1 species